AUUGAACGCUGGCGGCAGGCCUAACACAUGCAAGUCGAACGAGUGGCGGACGGGUGAGUAAUGUUUGGGAAACUGCCUGAUGGAGGGGGAUAACUAAUGGAAACGUUAGCUAAUACCGCAUACCAUCGGAUGUGCCCGUAUGGGAUUAGCUAGUAGGUGGGGUAAAGGCUCACCUAGGCGACGAGCCCUAGCUGGUCUGAGAGGAUGACCAGCCACACUGGACGUGAGACACGGUCCAGACUCCUACGGGAGGCAGCAGUGGGGAAUAGUGCACAAUGGGCGCAAGCCUGAUGCAGCCAUGCCACGUGUAUGAAGAAGGCCUUCGGGUUGUAAAGUACUUUCAGCGGGGAGGCGUUACCCGCAGAAGAAGCACCGGCUAACUCCGUGCCAGCCGCCGCGGUAAUAC
rnacentral:rRNA from 1 species